AACUCAUUACUAAUAUUAUUUUAAGUCACAUCUUCGGAAAAAUAACAUUGUCAAUGACAUCAGAUUUCUUUCAUUUAGGCCUAUAUUUAAUCAUUCGCAAAUGUGCGAUUAUAAUUCAUUUAACAGUAACUAGUUGUAUUAUAUGAGAAAACAUUAAAAGCCUAUUUUAUCGUACAUAGUUUCUAAACUUAUCAAGUGGUAGGCAUGUGAUAUCAGUGGCAUGUUGCCAAGCGACACCGAAUUUCAGGAAAUCCACAUCACGUGACAAUUUUUGUUAAAUAAAAGAAACUGAAGUUGCAUUAGGAACAUACUUCUUCCUUGGAGGCAGACCACAACAGAACUAUAAAAGUAAACUUUAUUCAGAAGAAAAUGUCGGAUAGGCGUGGUGAGGUAA